CAGAUUUUUUUUUUGAACCUUCAGUUUUGAUUUUACGGAAUUUUUGCUACGAAUUUGAAAGCAUUUCCCAGAAUUUAUAUGUAUUUCGAGGCAAAAAGACUUUGACACAACAUUUGUUCGCACUGUAGCUUGAAUAUUUUAUGAGAGCUCAAUUGGGGCUUGGAAAUUGUUAUUGGAUGAUGGAAAUGCAUGAAUAUUUAGAAGAAAAUAGAGAAGCUCCUACUAGAUAAUAGCUAUCAAGCAUGGGGGAUGUACAUGAUAUAAAAUCUCUUCAACGGCUAAUUAAGGCUACCAAAAUUAUGUUAAUGUUGUCAUUUAAUGAAAGAAAGGCAUGAAUAUGAAGGAAUAUUCAAAGAAUUGAAGCCACAAUCUUGUUUCCCCCUUAUGGUCGAAAUUACUAGGGCUAAUUAAGACUAAACAGAAGGUAAUAGAAAUACAGAAAAUGGUCUAUACUUAGAGUAAACGAUCUGGACAAUAAACAAACCAAUUAAUGAAAGUUAGCUACAGGAAUCGAUUAGUAUUAUUUCGUUAAGGAACGUUAAGGAACUUCCAUAUUAAUAACAGUUCUAUAUAAAUACUUCCAUUUACCUAAGCCAAAAUUCAAUAAGAAACUCCUUCACAGAAGUCGAUGCAUAAAUUUAUUUAAAUAUUCUCCAUUUCCAAAAGAAACUCCAAUAAGACCUAUAAGACCUAUGCCCACAACUCCACCCAUUUCGAAAGGCAAACACACGCUCGAAGGCGAGUACAUACGAGUAUAUCUAGGGAAGUUUCCUAUUUCUUAAUUAAGAAGCUCAUGUUGCCAUUUCCCUACAAAGACUCUUAUUUACUUGGACACUUUCUUAGCCAUAAAAUCUAUUAAUAAUGUGAUG